AAGUGCUUGAAGGCAGUAUGCUUGGUAAAAGUCAUCGCCAUUCUCUAAUCUUGAGUACCCAGGGACACGAUACACUGCGGAAGGCUGCAGGGACCUCUGCCCAGGAAAGCCAGGCUUGCAUGAAGGAAAUGAUUUCCUAUGAUUCUGCUUACUGCUUAAAAAAAUUAAUCAAGUUUUCUGCCUGACAAGUGGUUUCCAAAAGGAAAAGCUUUGGGAGAUAGAAGUCCUCGUUUUGACCUCUGCCCUCCUUGUACACCAGGAGCCAGAAAAACUUCAUCUCUUUUACAAGAAACAUUGAGAUUCCUGUAAAAUUAAGAAAUCACACAAUUUGAUGGUCUACAUUAUCUAAAGCAAAUGAGACUUCUAUUUGGAACAAAGACUACCUUGUUGGGAAAUGAGUCUGCAAGUUAAAGUGUUUUCUGGGAUCACUCUAAGCUCCAGUGUCAAGGAGUCAAGUCCUUCAGGAAUUCUCUGCCUCCACUCCCUGUGGCAGAGCUAGAGUGGCUGCCAUGCUUCUGAGCUCAGCCAGCAUCCAGAGAGAGAGUGAGAUACAGCCUCCUCUUCUUGAAGCACCCACUUCUAAACUCUGUGACAGUUUUCUUGGAACUCUGUUAUGUGGAUCUGGAGAUGACAAUGUCACAGCACUCCCCUCUAAGCCUAAAUUCCCCCACACCGAUGAACUAUUAGGAUCCAGUAUCUGCCGGAGGAGCCCCACCUUCUGCUACUAUUAUGUUCUUCAGAUGAGUAGAAGAGAGUGGGGAGGGAGAGAGCAGGAAGAAGAAAGGAAGAAUAAUGUCUUGAAAUUGAACAUUCAGCAGGAACUGUGGAAAUCCAAGUCAAGUAAUAUUCUCAACAGUUUUCUAAGGAUAAUGGUCUCCAGCUUCGUCAAUGUUCCUGCAAAGGACAUGAUGCUGACUUUGAAGAUGCAAGCUUCCACAUCUACAGCCUCAAGGAAACAAAUUCAGCCAACCAACUGAGGGAGCUUUCCUUGUCCUGCCUCAAGAUGAGAUCACAGUCUGCCCAACACCAUGAUUUAGGCCUUGUGACACCUGGUAUGGAAGACCCAGUUAAGUUCUCUCCAAACUCUUGACCCACAGAACCUGUGAGAAAAUAUAUGGAUAUUAUUUUAAACUGCUAAA
rnacentral:lncRNA from 1 species